rfam:Triticum aestivum genome assembly, contig: Triticum_aestivum_CS42_TGACv1_scaffold_250076_3DL
UUUGUACUCUUUCCGUCCGGAAAUACUUGUCGAAGAAAUGAAUGUACCUAGACGUAUUUUAGUUCUAGAUAUAUCCAUUUUUAUCCAUUUCUUCGACAAGUAUUUCGGGACGGAGGGAGUAUUAU